GUGCGAGCUCUUGCGAGCCUCGAAGGAUGACGGAUCAUGAAGGCCGCCGCCCUUCGAGGCCUCCGCUUCGCUUCGGCACCUCAGGGUGACGGCCAACUCGAUCUAAAGUCAUCAUGCUCUAGUGACUGAUCAUCCAUGGCCGCGCGGUGGGAAAGCCCUUCGCCCCGCUGCGGUUCUUGGUCAUCAGCCGUGANNNNNCAGCCCGGCUUGUGCGAAGCCUUGUACUCGCCGAGCGUUUUCGGCGCAUUGGCGCUGCGCUCAUU
rnacentral:misc_RNA from 1 species